UACAGAGGUCUCAAGCGUUGUUCGGAUUCAUUGGGCGUAAAGGGUGCGUAGGCGGCCAACUAAGUCAGACGUGAAAUCCCUCGGCUUAACCGGGGAACUGCGUCUGAUACUGGAUGGCUAGAGGUUGGGAGAGGGAUGCGGAAUUCCAGGUGUAGCGGUGAAAUGCGUAGAUAUCUGGAGGAACACCGGUGGCGAAGGCGGCAUCCUGGACCAAUUCUGACGCUGAGGAGCGAAAGCCAGGGGAGCAAACGGG
rnacentral:rRNA from 1 species